rnacentral:lncRNA from 1 species
UGUGGUAUUACUCUUUGGUUUUCAAAUAGAAACAAUUAAUUAAAUGACUUUCUCAACCCCGUUGCAUCUAAUUAGUUCAAUUUCCCAUUCUUUUUGGUAAUACAAAUUUGGAAGAAGUCUAUACUAUUAUUUUCUACAUUAGUUCAACUUAGAGCCACAAUCUAUAUUCCUCUUUAGUUCAAAAGUCAUUUUUCAAAGAUGCACUAUCUUAGGAUUAAAUUGUAUUCAUAGACCCUCAUUGAAUAAAUUAUAUCCAAUUAACUAUAUUUAUUUAACAGUUUAUGAUUUUUAAAUAUCAUGACUUUUUAAAAUCUCUAAUUUAUUUGCCUUCUACAUGUACUAGGUUAGUUUCUGCAAAAAUAUAAGGGAACUAAGUAUUGUGAUCUGGCCAUAGUGCUGUUCAGAGGCUAGUUGGGAAAUUGAGGGUGCUUGCUAUAUUUUUGAAAGUGUACUCCUUAAUAUGUGGUUUGAUUUUAAUUCAACCAACAUUUGUUCAGAAUAUACUAUUAGUAAAGCCUUGUAUUCACAUUUAUGUGAUAUGUAAUCAUGAAAAAGACAUUGACUCUGCCAUAUACAUAUUCAUAACUUAGAAGAGGAGAUAAACAUGAAAAUCUGGUAAGUCAAGCAACUAAGUUGAGAAUAUAAGGAUAGUAGAGAUUAAUUCUAGUUGGAAUUGAGGAAUUGGGAAGAAACCAUGUGAUAGUAGGAUAAAAGCUAAGAGCUUAAAUUUGGAGGACAUUUUCUAGUAGCUGAAAUGGGGAGACAUGCAAUGUAGUUAGGCCCAAGGUUGGUUUGCAUGGGAAGAAAUUGGAUUUGAUUAUAAUUAUUAUUAUUAGUAGUAGUAGUAGACAUCGUCAUAGUUGUAGUCAUAGUUGUAUUUUAUGAAGGGUAUUUGCAUAAUUCUAUAAUUAAUUAUUGAGAUGCAUUUUGUGAAAACAAAGAGAAUUAAAUCAUAGCAAAAUGGGAAAAAUUAUCUAACAUUCCUCUGCCUUUCCUUUUGGUGUCCUUUGGCUUGGUUUGGUGUCCUGAGACAUUUGCCUGUGGUGAUCUACCUCCAUGGUCACCAUGCUGUAGUAAUAAGUGUGCAAGUUUGAAAAUCAGAUGACCUGGCCUGGAGUCCUGACUCUACCCCUCACAAAAAAUUCAUAUUGAUGAACCUAGACUUUCAAGACAUGGCUAAAUUAUGUCCAAAACAAGGAAUAUUUGACAACGUCUGGAGACAGUGUCUGGCUUGUCACAGUUGGGGAAGAUACCACAGAUAUCUCGUGGGUAGAAGCCGGGGUGCAGUUAAAUAUCCUAUGAAGCAUAUAAUGCUGUUCUCUACAACAAAGAAUUGUCUGACGUUGCUGAAGUUAAGAAACUCUGGACCAAGGUUUUUGGCCUGAACAGAGGAAAGAAUGAUGCUACCAGUAACAGAAUGAGGGCGCUGCUAGUGCAGUAUAGUUUGCAAAAAGGAAACCAGAGUUCUGUCUUUUUGAAGUGCCUAUCAGAUUUUCAAGGCCAAUGUCAAAUAUUACAAUAUCAUAAAGUAAAAAUAAGAUUAAAGUUUAUCUGUUGUUAAAUUAAUGUUUAAAUAAUUCCUUUAGAAAUUAAAUUUCUAUAAAAUGGAAAUUGUGUCUCAAAAUAUUCCUGUGUUAUCUACAAGGCCUAACAUAGCUUCUGGUAUUUCAACAUAUAUAAAAAAGUAUGAAUAUAGCGGCCAUAUUAAUGUUCUCCUCCCUAGUUCUAUUACACUAUUUGGAAUGAUAUAAUUUUAGUCUUAGAAAUAGAAAAUUAUCUCCCUUCAUUUUGAUGAACACAUUAUAUAAUUAAAGUACACAUAAGGGUUGUAAUUACUAUGUUUCCUAAUAUAUUAUAGUUCUUUCAUCUCCUCAGUCUGCUUUUUGUGAAGAGGACUUUUUCAGGGUAGAAGAAUGACUCAGUAAUGAGAAAAAGGGGAAAUUAUGUUAAGUCUUUCUUCUUUUCAUUCCUCCCCUAUUCUGGAUCCAGGGGUAGUACCACACACUUCCCCAAGCAGCAUUUCUGAUAACUUAGAAUAUCCUUAUGAAGCCAUCUCUAAAAAAAUAAUAGGUUUCUUUCCAUUCGUUCUCUGAAAUAGCCUCCUUUAAGUCUAGAGUGCCUGCAGCUGAACAAGCAGCUACCAGUGCAGUAGGACUUGUUGCUAGGGGGAGUUGCCCUUAUCACUUCUCAUCUAAACUCGGUGGGUUAUGUGGAAAAAACGGCAUGUGCUUAACUUCAGAUUUUAAAGUCUUUUAACUUUGCAGUUGAGUGCCUUCAAUUGAAUUUCUUAAUUAACUUUUAAGUUAUGACUGUCUCUUAUUCCCUCCUUACCUAUAUUGAAGGAGCCAAUCAGUAAAUACCUAAGUCCUGCCUGCCCGCCGUGAAGCAAGGAAAAUGUACUUGCUAAUGAUUGAAUUAAUUCUCACACUUUAGUUAAUAUUGACCAAUAUUUCUUGGAUUUUAUUUCCAAAAUGACUUUCUUUUUUUCUUGAAAUACUGUUUUAAAAGUAGCUUUAAAAUGUAUCCUCCAUGUAAGUAUAACAAAACAGAGUGAUUUAUUCACAGCUACUUGUUUCAAUAAUGCAGAUGUUCAGGGCUACAGUACUCAAAUAGUGAGACUCAGGGAAGGGAGAGGAAUUGGCUGAAUUAAUUUAAAAGAAAAUCUGGCCGAGCACUGUGGAUCACACCUGUAAUCCCAGCACUUUGGGAGGCUGAGGCAGGUGGAUCACGAGGUCAGGAGUUUGAGACCAUCCUGGACAACAUGGUGAAAGCCCAUCUCUACUAAAAAUGCAGAAAUUAGCUGGGCAUGGUGGCACAUGCCUGUAAUCCCAGCUACUCAGGAGGCUGAGGCAGGAGAAUCCCUUGACCCAGGGAGUAGGAGGUUGCAGUGAGCUGAGAUCGCGCCACAGCACUCUAGCCUGGUGACAGAGAGAGACUCCGUCUCAAAAA